UACGUAGGGUGCAAGCGUUGUCCGGAAUUAUUGGGCGUAAAGAGCUCGUAGGCGGUCUGUCGCGUCUGCUGUGAAAACUCGGGGCUUAACCCCGGGCCUGCAGUGGGUACGGGCAGACUAGAGUGCGGUAGGGGAGACUGGAAUUCCUGGUGUAGCGGUGAAAUGCGCAGAUAUCAGGAGGAACACCGGUGGCGAAGGCGGGUCUCUGGGCCUGUACUGACGCUGAGGAGCGAAAGCGUGGGGAGCGAACAGG
rnacentral:rRNA from 1 species